rnacentral:tmRNA from 1 species
GGGGAUGACGGGCUUCGACGGAGUUCAUUUCAAAUUAUACGCAGGUGGUAGAUGGAUAUCACUACCUAAAAUACUAUCUAAAAUUUAUAAUUGCCAAAACCAAUUAUUCAGGCGCUUUAGCUUUCGCUUAAGUUCCCGUUCUCUCAAUAAUUCUCGCUAGUUGAGAAGAACGCCAUUAGCGGGAUACUGUUUGUGGGGUCUUGGUGUGUUCUAAGCCGCAGACGGGAAAUUAAGCUAGAAUACUGGUCCGACGUUUUUGUUGGCUUCAAAGUCGGACAAUAAUAAACCAACUAAACCUGUAGAAUGUAAUUUGAUUAAAUUUCGGAUGUGGAUUCAACUUCCACCGUCUCCACUC